UACAGAGGUCUCAAGCGUUUGUUCGGAUUCAUUGGGCGUAAAGGGUGCGUAGGCGGCGCGGUAAGUCGGGGUGUGAAAUCUUGGAGCUUAACUCCGAAACUGCAUUCGAUACUGCCGUGCUUGAGGACUGGAGAGGAGACUGGAAUUCCUGGUGUAGCGGUGGAAUGCGCAGAUAUCAGGAGGAACACCGGUGGCGAAGGCGGGUCUCUGGGCAGUAACUGACGCUGAGGAGCGAAAGCGUGGGGGAGCGAACAGG
rnacentral:rRNA from 1 species